UACGUAGGGGGCAAGCGUUAUCCGGAUUUACUGGGUGUAAAGGGAGCGCAGACGGCAGUGCAAGUCUGGAGUGAAAGCCCGGGGCUCAACCCCGGGACUGCUUUGGAAACUGCAUAGCUGGAGUGCUGGAGAGGCAAGCGGAAUUCCUGGUGUAGCGGUGAAAUGCGUAGAUAUCAGGAGGAACACCGGCGGCGAAGGCGGCCUGCUGGACCGCGACUGACGUUGAGGCUCGAAAGCGUGGGGAGCAAACAGG
rnacentral:rRNA from 1 species